rnacentral:rRNA from 2 species
CUAUACUGCAAGUCGAACGCGUUGGCCCAAUUGAUUGAUGGUGCUUGCACCUGAUUGAUUUUGGUCGCCAACGAGUGGCGGACGGGUGAGUAACACGUAGGUAACCUGCCCAGAAGCGGGGGACAACAUUUGGAAACAGAUGCUAAUACCGCAUAACAGCGUUGUUCGCAUGAACAACGCUUAAAAGAUGGCUUCUCGCUAUCACUUCUGGAUGGACCUGCGGUGCAUUAGCUUGUUGGUGGGGUAACGGCCUACCAAGGCGAUGAUGCAUAGCCGAGUUGAGAGACUGAUCGGCCACAAUGGGACUGAGACACGGCCCAUACUCCUACGGGAGGCAGCAGUAGGGAAUCUUCCACAAUGGGCGCAAGCCUGAUGGAGCAACACCGCGUGAGUGAAGAAGGGUUUCGGCUCGUAAAGCUCUGUUGUUAAAGAAGAACACGUAUGAGAGUAACUGUUCAUACGUUGACGGUAUUUAACCAGAAAGUCACGGCUAACUACGUGCCAGCAGCCGCGGUAAUACGUAGGUGGCAAGCGUUAUCCGGAUUUAUUGGGCGUAAAGAGAGUGCAGGCGGUUUUCUAAGUCUGAUGUGAAAGCCUUCGGCUUAACCGGAGAAGUGCAUCGGAAACUGGAUAACUUGAGUGCAGAAGAGGGUAGUGGAACUCCAUGUGUAGCGGUGGAAUGCGUAGAUAUAUGGAAGAACACCAGUGGCGAAGGCGGCUACCUGGUCUGCAACUGACGCUGAGACUCGAAAGCAUGGGUAGCGAACAGGAUUAGAUACCCUGGUAGUCCAUGCCGUAAACGAUGAGUGCUAGGUGUUGGAGGGUUUCCGCCCUUCAGUGCCGGAGCUAACGCAUUAAGCACUCCGCCUGGGGAGUACGACCGCAAGGUUGAAACUCAAAGGAAUUGACGGGGGCCCGCACAAGCGGUGGAGCAUGUGGUUUAAUUCGAAGCUACGCGAAGAACCUUACCAGGUCUUGACAUCUUGCGCCAACCCUAGAGAUAGGGCGUUUCCUUCGGGAACGCAAUGACAGGUGGUGCAUGGUCGUCGUCAGCUCGUGUCGUGAGAUGUUGGGUUAAGUCCCGCAACGAGCGCAACCCUUGUUACUAGUUGCCAGCAUUAAGUUGGGCACUCUAGUGAGACUGCCGGUGACAAACCGGAGGAAGGUGGGGACGACGUCAGAUCAUCAUGCCCCUUAUGACCUGGGCUACACACGUGCUACAAUGGACGGUACAACGAGUCGCGAACUCGCGAGGGCAAGCAAAUCUCUUAAAACCGUUCUCAGUUCGGACUGCAGGCUGCAACUCGCCUGCACGAAGUCGGAAUCGCUAGUAAUCGCGGAUCAGCAUGCCGCGGUGAAUACGUUCCCGGGCCUUGUACACACCGCCCGUCACACCAUGAGAGUUUGUAACACCCAAAGUCGGUGGGGUAACCUUUUAGGAGCCAGCCGCCUAAG